rnacentral:rRNA from 1 species
GACGAACGGCUGGCGGCGUGGAUUAGGCAUGCAAGUCGAACGGUAGGAUCCUUUCGGGGAUCUGAGAGUGGCGAACGGGUGAGUAACACGUAGGUGAUCUACCCUCAAGACGGGGACAACCCAGGGAAACUUGGGCUAAUACCGGAUGUGAGCUAUCGCGAGAUAGUUUGAAAGGUGGCUUCGGCUGCCGCUUGAGGAUGAGCCUGCGUCCUAUUAGCUAGUUGGUGAGGUAACGGCUCACCGAGGCAGUGAUAGGUAGGCGGCCUUAACGGGUGGUCGCCCACACUGGGAUUGAGAUACGGCCCAGACUCCUACGGGAGGCAGCAGUCGAGAAUAGUCUACAAUGGUCGGAAGACUGAUAGUGCGACGCCGCGUGAACGAUGAAUCCCUUCGGGGUGUAAAGUUCUUUUAUAUGUGAGCAGUGCUUCUUAUAUUAACAGUAUGGGGAGAGAGAUAUUAGCAUAUGAAUAAGCAACGGCUAACUCCGUG